rnacentral:lncRNA from 1 species
CCUGCAACACUUGCACUAGGUUAAAUAUCAAUCAUAUUGAUCGUUUAACCCUAGAAUGAUUCUUAAUCGUUGAUCAACCAUCCGAUCAGAUAGUGAACUCUAAUGUGUGUGACCUCAUAGGUCCGAACCUAAGUCGGUAGUAUAGAAAUAAAUUUUUGUACCAAUUGAAGUGACCAUCUAGCAAUGAUAUCCGAUAGCCAGAU